rnacentral:lncRNA from 1 species
CUUAUUUUGUGGACCUUUGAAUUGUGUUGUCAUUUCUAUCAUAUUUCGCAGCUGAUAUUUUUUUUUCGUGUAUCGCCGAUUCUAUUAUAUUUCACUUAAGAUUUUUUUUUUCAUGUAAAUAUAAGAAAGACGAUGAGGUAUGAUUGCCAAUAAGACUUUACUCUUCUAAAGAGACUUAAUGACUCAAAAAAUUAACAGCUUAAGGUAACUGUACGACCGUCAACGAUGAGCAAACCCCAAACCGCAUUGUCAUCCAUAAAAGGCCACAAAAUCACAUAUGCAAAACAAUUCAAACGAAAAAACUGAUAUUUUUUUGUGUAUCUCCAUUUCUAUCAUAUGUCACUUAGAAUUUUUUUUUGCCAUAUAUAUAUAUAUAUAUAUAGAAGAUGUGGUAUGAUUGCCAAUGAGACAACUCUCCACAAGUGACUAAAUAACACAGAAAUUAAUAACUAUAGGUAACUGUAUGGCCCUCAAUGAUGAGCAAAGCCCGAACUGCAUAGCUAUUUAGGCACAGAAAUCACAUAUGUAAAACAAUUCAAACCACAAAACUUACGACCAUACAGACAUUUCUAUCAUAUUUCUCAGCUGAUAUUUUUUUCUCAUAUUGCCAUUUCUAUCAUAUUUCACGAGACUUUUUCUGCUUUUAUAUUAAAAAAAAAAAGAUGUGGUAUGAUUGCCAAUGAGACAACUCUCCACAAGAAACUCAAUGACACAGAAAUUAACAGCUAUAUGUAACUGUACGGCCCUCAAUGAUGAGCAAAAACCAAAGUGCAUAAUCAGCUUUGAUAGGCCCAGAAAUCACAAAUGUAAAACAAUUCAAACGAAACACACUUAAGGACCAUUUAGCCAUUUUUAGCAUUUUUGGAUAAAUAUCGUGAUUAUCUAAUUUUUCGGAUUAUUUCGCAAUUCUAUUUUGAAAUACUCGUGAUUUAUAUUCGGCUUACUAUUUUUCUUUGAAGUCUUCUUAAUAAAUUGUCCAAAAAAUGAGUUGGUUCACAGUAUGCUCCUCUUCUAGUCUUGGUCAUCCCCCUGUAGCAGUCUCAAUAAUCCUUUAUUCCCCGUCCCUGCUGAGUCAAAGUUAGAGACUUCAAAAUUGGUAUUGCUAUUCGUUUACUACCCAAAGAAACCUAAAGAGAAAGAGCAAAGACAAGUUGGCUUUGAAAAAGACUAGAUGAAUCUUCAUCCUAUCUAGUAACUGUUCCAAAAAUGACUCGGCAUAUGUUUUAAAUGAUAUAUGUGGGGUAAUUAACGUCAAUGAGACAGCAACUUACCAAAUUUGGCCAAGACACAUAAUAACUAAGUUAACAUACUGUCUUCAACAAUACAAAUAUGGAGAUCUGAUAUGAUUGCCAAUAAGACAAACUCUUCAUCAAAUCCACAUGUCAGAGAUUGAUGCAGGGUCUUUAAUAAUGGAGCAAUGACCUAACAUAUCAUAUUCAAAUCACAUUUACAUAUAAACAUCAGAUGUGGUAUGAUUGCCAUUGGUACAAGUAUGUUGCUGGUGUUAGAUAUCCAUCCUAUUGUCCAUCUUUACAUAUGAAGUAGACUUGAUUUAGGUGCUUCUUAGGGAAAACAGAGGAUCUUGCAUUGUAUUUUACUUCACAUUCCACAAUUUAGGCAUUUCUUAUUUCAAAAUUCAAAAUUACUUUUUUUUUUUUUUUUAUUGGUUUUCAUUUAUAUAAAGAUAAUUCAAAGUUUGUUGACAUUAUUGAUUCCUUCUGUAAUUCAUAUAUAGCUAGUUGUAAGGAGCAUCCGAUAUAGGAAGACUGGCCAAUAUCUUGACCUAAGCCUGGGGGUCGUUGGUGAGGUCAGUUGGGAACUAUAAAAAAUUACAACAAAGGAGACUUUUUUUUUUCUGUUUGUGAACCUACUAUUAUUAUGUAGCAAUAAUCCAGGUAUACUUGAAUAUAUGGAUUUUGUAUCUCCAUGUUGAUUAUUCCACUCUUAGCAUGUGCUGUACUUGUUUCCUUAAUAAAUUGUCUCCACAAGAGACCAAAAUGAAUAGACAACAUCUGAUAUUUUUAUUAUCUUAAGAGCUCGUGAAUUAAUAAUUUGAUUUGCCAUCUUCAGAGAAAAAAAGAAGAUAUUCAAAACUUAAUCUUUUAUCUUCAAUUUUUAAAACAUAAUCCAUUGUACAGCAUUUUGGACCAUUAAGAGCUGGGCAAGACAACCAAACCGUGCAAUGGUGCUGAAAGUACCAUUAUUGUAAUCUGGACUUCUACAGUCCAUUUGAGGGUGUAGUUUUCUGCCACUUUUCUCCUAAGGGCGUUGUAACGGACAUAAAUUAAGGCUUAGAAAUAAGAACGUCACAACAACAGUGACGUUGUCUACAUAUAGAGAGGUAGCAGGAACACCUCCAUAUACUCCAUCCACCAUCUAAAGCUGGUAUGACACAAGAUCCAAUAGUGUUGAAAAGUAAAAAGCAAUAUGAUUAUUGUAAUCAAGACUUCUCCAGUUCAUUUAAAGGAAUGUUACUGUGAUACAGGGUUUUCCAUCAUUAAGAGCUGGGCACGACAAAAGAACCAAUAAUAGUGAAAUUAGCAUUUUGGUAAUUUCGACCUUUCCAGUCUUGUUUAUGUCAGUUGAAAUCAUUUGAAAAACAAAAAAUUUAUAAUGUGUUCCAAAGAAAACUUGUCCUGAGAUCUGAAAAUUGCUGUUCAAAUAAAAACAAUGUGUGAACAUUUAACAUUUUUGAUUUUCAAACAAUAACUCAAACAAUGCGUGAAACUUUAACAUUUUUGAUGUUUCAAACAAUAACUCAAUUCUUUUCAUUGCACAUUCUUUGUUGGCGCGUUUGUGUGGUGUAAAGAUUUGAGUUAUUCUGAAUUUUUAAUGAAUUAAUAAUUUGAUUUGCCAUCUUCAAAGAAAAAAAGUAGAUAUAUUCAAAACUUAAUCUUUUAUCUUCAAUUUUUAAAUCAUAAUCCAUUGUACAGCAUUUUGGACCAUUAAGAGCUGGACAAGACAACCAAAGCGGGUUAUGGUGCUGAAAGUACCAUUAUUGUAAACUGGACUUCUACAAUCCAUUUGAGGGUGUAGUAAUAUCUGCUACUAUUUCCUCCCUAAGGGCGUUGUAACGGACAUAAAUUAAGGCUUAGAAAUAAGAAUGUCACAACAACAGUGAUGUUGUCUACACAUAGAGGUAGCGGGAAAGUAUAGGUCCUAUUUGUAGGGACAGACAGUGCCACUCUGCACGUUAAAGAACCCUUGUCACAACUCUUUUGAGGUGUCAGUAGGAUGUGGCUUGUUGCAUUAAUAGGCUAAAUUUCUGUCCAAAAAUAUCCUCCUCGGUUGGCAGUCAAAAUUCCCCCUCCCUUCACCAUAGGAUUGGACCACUUUAUAGAACCUACAAAUUGAUUUGUUGUGAUAUCAAGAGAUGUGAGACAACUAUCCUACAGAGACCAAAUGAUGUUAAUGUAAAAUAGGUUACUGUAUGGGCUUCAACAAUGAGAAAAUCCACUAACAUUAAAAUUGUGCAAUAUUCUGAUUUAGAAUGACUUGUUUAUACCUCCAAACUUUAACAUCUGAAAUUUUUUAUUAUCUAGAGCUCUGUAAAAAAAAAAAGAAAAAUAUAUAAAAAAGAAAAUACCAAAAAAUAAUAUGAAAGCAAAAUAGAAAACAGAGUUCUAGAUAAUAAACAUUGAGGGUGGGAUUAUUUUGAUAUUUUUAUGACCCCCGCCUUUAAGUCUUCUAAAGUUAUCAUAUUUAAAACAAAACAAAAAUUGGAAUGGCAGUUUAAAAAGUAUAGGUCCUUUCUGUAGGGACAGUGCAACUCUGCAUGUUAAAGAACCCUUGCCACAAAUCUUUUGAGGUGUCAGUAGGAUGUGGCUUGUUGCAAGGCUAACUUUCUGUCCAACAUUAUCCUCCUCUCUA